rnacentral:lncRNA from 1 species
GGGACAGGGAUACUGGAGUGAUGGAGGUAGAUAUGUAUAGGGGGAAGGGGACAGGGAUACUGGAGUGAUGAAGGUAGAUAUGUAUAGGGGACAGGGAUACUGGAGUGAUGGAGGUAGAUAUGUAUAGGGGACAGGGAUACUGGAGUGAUGGAGGUAGAUAUGUAUAGGGGGAAGGGGACAGGGAUACUGGAGUGAUGGAGGUAGAUAUGUAUAGGGGGAAGGAGACAGGGAUACUGGAGUGAUGGAGGUAGAUAUGUAUAGGGGGAAGGGGACAGGGAUACUGGAGUGAUGGAGGUAGAUAUGUAUAGGGGGAAGGAGACAGGGAUACUGGAGUGAUGGAGGUAGAUAUGUAUAGGGGACAGGGAUACUGGAGUGAUGGAGGUAGAUAUGUAUAGGGGGAAGGGGACAGGGAUACUGGAGUGAUGGAGGUAGAUAUGUAUAGGGGGAAGGAGACAGGGAUACUGGAGUGAUGGAGGUAGAUAUGUAUAGGGGACAGGGAUACUGGAGUGAUGGAGGUAGAUAUGUAUAGGGGACAGGGAUACUGGAGUGAUGGAGGUAGAUAUGUAUAGGGGACAGGGAUACUGGAGUGAUGAAG